CCAAGUCCCGACGCUCUCCCCCCAGCGCCGGGACUCUCCGAGAGCCGGGCCUCGGCGCCUCCCCCCCCCCUGGCGCCGAGGCCCGGCUUCUUU
rnacentral:ncRNA from 18 species